GUGUGACAGAAGCAGAGACUGGAGGGGAAGCUCUUUAAAGUCAGAGGAAGGGGUCACAAGCCAAGGAACGCAGGCCGCCAGUGGGAGCUAAAGAAGGCUGGGAAACGCAGUCUCCCUCCACCGCCCCCUGCAGGCGUUGAGGCCUCUAUGUGCUCUCCUAUCUGGGUCCUCCCCCUGGAAGCUCUAUUUUUUUUUUUUUAAGGUUAUUUUAUUAUUUAUUUUUUAAGAUUUUAUUUAUUUAUUUGACAGACAGAGAUCACAAGUAGGCAGAGAGGCAGGCAGAGAGGGGAGCAGGAAGCAGGCUCCCUGGCUGAGCAGAGAGCCUGAUGCGGGGCUUGAUCCCAGGACCAUGGAAUCAUGAUCUGAGCUGAAGGAAGAGGCUUCACCCGCGGAGCCACCCAGGUGCCCCUGAAGCUCUCCUGAUACUCAUUUUAGCCUGAUGGCACCUGUACUCACACGUGGGGGAGGAGAGGGAACUCCGUGAGCGCUCCACCGCUUCUCUGUUUCCUGCUUAGAUUCAUCCAGAAUCAUUGUUCAGAGCCUUAUUCCUUCCUGGCCACGAGGCCUCCGAGGAGGUGGCUCCCAUACCCAGCAGGCGCAGAGCAAAACCAGGCUGUUGACCAGGGCGUUUCACGGCUCUGACUCAGAAGCGAGGGCACUGGAAGAACAGCCUGUUCCUUGUCCUGGCUCUGCUGCCACCGGCCUCAGAUUAAUGAUGUGCUGGUGGCGUUCCCUUUCCUGGCCAGUCGCUUCCAGGCGAUUCUGCAAGGAUCUAUGAGUUAGCGUUCGGAAAGAACUCCUUGAAAUCCUCCAUCAUUCAGAAGCAUCCCAGGUAGUCAUCUCGAUGCCUUGUAAUGAGUCCUUUUAAAACGCUCUGCCUGCCCCCUCGUCCUGGGUCUUAGCUGUACGUGCCUAUGGUGUACCCACUGGGUUCCUUCGUAGCCGCGGUGACAGGACUCUUUCGAGGAACCAGGCCGAGCUCAUCAUAGUCACCAUCUGGUUGACUCGAAGAGAUAAAGAUCACCUGUGACCUGUGCUUCACGUUCCUGGGAGGAAAACAAAGCCCCAUGCGCCCCGGCUUCCUUCUACCCUGACAUCACCAGCUAUGGGAGGAGCCUCCCUGCAGGCACUAAAAGCAUCCGCUGAGACACUGCCUCCAGCCCGCUUCAAGUGCAUCGACCUAAUGGACUUGUCUCCUGGCGCAAACCUCCGAGGACUCAGGGAGAAGAGCAGGGGGAGAGGCCGAGCAAGAGGGAAGGAGAAUCUUCACGCAGGAUCCCUGCUGAGCCAGAGCCCAUUCGACCCCAGAACCCUGAAAUCAGGACCUGAACCUAAGCCAAGAGUCAUCUGCUUAACGGACUGAGUGACCCAGUUGCCCCUUUUUAAAAAUGUUUACAUGGUACAGCUGGCCAUGAGACACAGCUCAGGACAGAGAUGGGGAACAGGGAGUUUCCUGCAAAAGCUCGGCCUUUCCAGCAGAACGGAGACAGAGGCAGCAAAUCAGGUCUUUGCCUCCUGCUCCCUCAAAGAGCGGUGGGAUGACUGCAGCGCAGCAGGUGUCUGAAAACCACGAGAUGGACGAGCCCGAGAGUGGGAGCCAACUUGAUGGCAGAAGCACCCGAUGGGGACAGUCAGCAUCCCCCUCGCACGGCCUGGGGGAGAACCGACUGAGCAGCACAAGCCGGGAUAUGAAUGAGAAAUAACCUGUUUUGCGAAUCCACUGAAAUGCCAUUCCAUUUGCUUCAAGAGUUAAACUGUAUAUUUAAAUUAUACCUCCAUACGCUUAAUUAGAAAAGAAAAUGAAUGGGGGAGGAGGGGUUGAUCCUGAGACGACAGGAACUCAAAGGGAUGCUGAGGUGAUCUUGGACCUCCGACCAUGACUCACAGGUGGACCGGGCUCUGGGCCCUGACCUUCCGUGGUUGGAUGUAGCCUUCUACUGAGCAUUUGUAAGGUUCACUCAACUGUGCUCCUCCCAAGAUGUCAUCAGGCUUGAAGUGAAAAUUUAAACUAGAGCAAUGCAGAUGGGCUGGCAUUACCCAACAUUGUCCCAAAAAUCCCAGCUCUGGUACUGGUAAAUCAAGAGGCCGGGCCUCAGGGCCCAAUAUCUGCUCCAAACAGGCCCACCUCCUGCGGUCUGGGAGCCGCAGAUUCUGGGCCUGGCCGCCUGCAGAGCUAAAUUGAGACGCCAGGAACUCUGUUCGGCACAGGUAUUUCUAAAUCCUGUGGACAGUCCUUGGCCGAACUUUCCUCCACCUCCCCCAGGCCUGCUAAGCUCUAUUUGAAGAGCUUGCAAUUUAAAGAAGUGAAGAACCAGCAAAUACGUCGGGUUGAAAAUGAAAAACAUUUUCUGCAGGGUUUCACCAAGUCCUGGGGUUAAGACUUGUUAGUGGAGCCCACCUGCUAUCCUUUUAAAUAGAUAAAAGACAUUUCAGUCUCUGGCCUUGAAAUACUAGAGGCCCUCCCCGCUCCCUCUUUAGCUUUCCUACACCCCGCCCCCCCCAAAAUCCUAUAAUUAAAAAGGCUCUUUUCAGACUGGAAUACAAUUCAAACAUAAUCAUUAUGAAAACUCUGCCCUGUUUCUGUGGUUACUGACAACUCCCUUUGUGUAAAUCUCAUUAAAUCAAACCAGGGACUCCCGAUUUGGGGGACAAUCCCUGGGAAGAAAAGGCUCUGUUGAUUUUCGAAAUAAUGUUGCAAGUCUCAGGUAGGAGACCCUUCUGGAUUAGAAAAUAAUAUUAUUUAUCUCUCCGACGCCACUGACAAAUCAACCAUGAAAAAUUGAUAAUGGCUUUUAUCACCCCACGUGCUUUUUCUGCCGUGGCGGUAUUCUCACGUCUCCUGUAGAAGGCAGCUUUCUCUGACAAGCUAGCUUAUUUUCCUGCCUUUAAGAAGACAAAUGAAAUCACUGAAAACGCUGCUUUAGAGACUAUGGUCCAUUCAUUUUCAUCCUAUACAUUUUCAGCGCUUAGGAGAAAUCAGCUUCUCAUUUGUAAAGGAUGAUUCCUAUUCAAGCUAUAAGCAGCCGUGGGUUUUCGUUACACCCUGAAAUGCUUGAGAAGUAAAGUGGUUCUCAUAUAAAAUUAAAGACAACAGUGAAAUUUCUGCAUAUCUUACAGAGGAGCAUACAAUAUAGAAAACUUACACUUCCCUCUGGGCCUAGAGGUGAUGUUAGCUUGGACUGUCCGUUUCCCCUUUAAUUUUGUUCUUUCUAUUCCAGUUCUGGAAUUUCCCAAGUCCUUAACUGCAAAAACAUUCCUCUUGCCCCUGUGACUUUUUCCAUCAGAAGAUAUAAAUGCCUUAGACUUCCUUACCAUCAAAUGCACAAACUAUAUUGGGCCCUAUUCUGGGUGCGACCAAUAAAAAAUGAGGGUACCACUGACCCUGUGUUCUGCUCCACAUGGUUUUAUGCAUGCAAAUGCCGUUCCUUGCAGGAAUAAGGGCUUUUCCUUGCCACUGUACCAAGAUAACUGGCCGAAUGGGAGAAGAUUAUUUGCA